rnacentral:rRNA from 1 species
AGUGAACGCUGGCGGUAGGCCUAACACAUGCAAGUCGAACGGCAGCACAGGAGAGCUUGCUCUCUAGGUGGCGAGUGGCGGACGGGUGAGGAAUACAUCGGAAUCUGCCCAGUCGUGGGGGAUAACGUAGGGAAACUUACGCUAAUACCGCAUACGACCUUCGGGUGAAAGAGGGGGAUCGCAAGACCUCUCGCGAUUGGAUGAGCCGAUGUCGGAUUAGCUAGUUAGCGGGGUAAUGGCCCACCAAGGCGACGAUCCGUAGCUGGUCUGAGAGGAUGAUCAGCCACACUGGAACUGAGACACGGUCCAGACUCCUACGGGAGGCAGCAGUGGGGAAUAUUGGACAAUGGGCGCAAGCCUGAUCCAGCCAUACCGCGUGGGUGAAGAAGGCCUUCGGGUUGUAAAGCCCCUUUGUUGGGAAAGAAAUCUUUCAGGCUAAUACCCUGGGAGGAUGACGGUACCCAAAGAAUAAGCACCGGCUAACUUCGUG